GAGCAAGAGAGAACAGAGACGAAGGCCAGCCGCCCAGCCGCCCAGCCACCCAUGGAGUAAGAUACAGAAGUAAGAAAAGGAAAAAGCCCAGAGUAAAAGCUCAGGCCGUAACCCUGCCUUCUAGAUGAAAAUGUCCACACCAGUUGGGAACUCAGAGUCUUCAGGGAAUGGCAGCAGCUUGAUUACGGGAUUGCUGUUCUUGACCCCCUUUCUGAUACGUCAUAGGAUUUGUCAAUAAUAGAGGACAAGGAAGUAGAUGGAGGUUAUUAUGCUAUGCCAUUGCCAGGUAUUAUCAGUCACAAGGAAUUCUCCAGGCAGAAGUUCACACUCCAUGAUGUCAGUCGAGGAGAGGAAAUCCUCACCAGGUGCUUCCUGUGGAACAUCACAUUUACCCAGAGAUGUGCUAGCAUGGGCAAGCGCUUUCUCAGCUUGGAGGGCUCAUCUCUCAGGGGCCAGUUAGCUGAGAAGCUUGUGUGAAGCCUGCACUGUUUCAGAUUCUGUUAAACUGAGUUUAAACUAAGCUUUAAACCUCUUCGGACAAGUUUGAACCAAUAUGUUAACACUUUAGGGAAGGUUAGAUCACCCAGUCUUAAUUUUUUUAUUUCUACAGUGUGAGAAUUCAUUAAUAACAAAAUCAUAAGCUCUAUCAGCCUGACCAGUCCUUGGAUUGAUAUUUUACAAAUUAAAGCAAAUGACCUACCAUCCA